ensembl:lncRNA
GGAAAGAUCAAUUCAUUUCGGUCAUUAUUCGUGCUGUUUUGACUUCCAGUGACUGGCGCUUGUGUGGUGUGUGACUGUAGGUAGAGAAAGUGGCAGUGGACACAGAUAUCCAGAGGGAAAACCACAGACAGAGGGAGCACUAUGAAAAGAUUAUCACGACACUGAAGAACCAGCUCACCAGGGACACAAACGUCUUUCAGGCCAACAAUACAAAGCUCAUGAAGUCCAAAUGCUAAGAGGAAAUACAAGGAUAAGAAGUUUGGCUUUGGAGGCAAGAAGAAGGGCAACAAAUGGAACACUAAAGAAAGCCAUGAUGACAUUUUUAGGAUUCAAGGCCAAAAUUGCUCAUGGGAAAGAAACGGCCAGGGAAGGAGGCCAGGAGGAAAAUGAAGGCACGCAAAUGAGCUGUAUCUUCCCAUUAGUACCUCGCACUCAAAUGGAUUGUGCCAUUAAAAAGACUUUUUUUUAUCUCUAUUUCAUAUUACUUGGGUGAAGUCAUGGCUUGUUCUUUUUUCCUGACAAAUACCUCUGUAUUUUUCAAGACUUCUCCUUUGUGAGCAAAUGUUUCAGAAGAUUUGUUGUUUUUUUGGUAAUGUACUGUAUGUAUUUAGCAGACCAAUGUUAACACCACACAAAACCACUG